rnacentral:rRNA from 1 species
CACACCGCCCCGUCACACCAUGGGAGUUGAUUGCACCAGAAGUAGGUAGCCUAACCGCAAGGAGGGCGCUUACCACGGUGUGGUCAAUGACUGGGGUG